UACGAAGGGGGCUAGCGUUGCUCGGAAUUACUGGGCGUAAAGCGCGCGCAGGCGGCUUCGCGCGCCCGCCGUGAAAGCCCCCGGCUUAACCGGGGAGAGUCGGUGGGGACGGCGGAGCUUGAGGGCGGGAGAGGUCGGUGGAAUUCCCGGUGUAGUGGUGAAAUGCGUAGAGAUCGGGAGGAACACCUGUGGCGAAGGCGGCCGACUGGGCCGACCCUGACGCUGAGGCGCGAAGGCGUGGGGAGCGAACGGG
rnacentral:rRNA from 1 species